CCUUGAUCAGAUUAGGCCAUGGCAAAAGACGUGGUUGAUCCAAGCCAAAGUGGUACACACCUGAAACCAUCCAAUAUCGUGUUUGGUGAGAGUUUGGAAAUCAUAUUAGCAGACAAACAUGGCUGCAAAAUUCAAGCUACAUUUAACAAGAACUAUUUGAAUUCUUUGGAGAAUGAAUGCAAGAAGUAUACCUUCGGAGUAUUGGGGUCCAUAUUAAUUUGUCUGGCAUAAACUUUCAAGAAGUAUGCAUUCGAUUCUUCGAAGUCAUCACAACACUCAUCGCAAUAACAAUAUAAGUCAUCGGAUACAACAUGCAAAA